rnacentral:rRNA from 1 species
GCGGCAUGCCUAACACAUGCAAGUCGAACGGAAAUUUAGCGUCGGUUAAAUUUUAGUGGCAAACGGGUGAGUAACGCGUGGGAAUCUACCCUCUGGUGGGGGAUAACUAAAGGAAACUUUAGAUAAGACCGCAUAUUCUUGGAAAUAAGGAAAGAUUUAUCGCAAGAGGAGGAGCCUGCGUCAGAUUAGGUAGUUGGUAGGGUAAUGGCCUACCAAGCCUGUGGUCUGUAGCUGGUCUGAGAGGAUGAUCAGCCACACUGGGACUGAGACACGGCCCAGACUCCUACGGGAGGCAGCAGUGGGGAAUAUUGGACAAUGGGGGAAACCCUGAUCCAGCAAUGCCGCGUGAAUGAAGAAGGCCUUCGGGUUGUAAAGUUCUUUCGCCUGUGACGAUAAUGACGGUAGCAGGAAAAGAAGUCCCGGCUAACUCCGUGCCAGCCGCCGCCGUAA